UACGUAGGGUGCAAGCGUUGUCCGGAAUUAUUGGGCGUAAAGAGCUCGUAGGCGGCUUGUCGCGUCGAAUGUGAAAUCUCAGGGCUCAACUCUGACAUUGCAUUCGAUACGGGCAGGCUAGAGUUCGGUAGGGGAGACUGGAAUUCCUGGUGUAGCGGUGAAAUGCGCAGAUAUCAGGAGGAACGCCGGUGGCGAAGGCGGGUCUCUGGGCCGAUACUGACGCUGAGGUGCGAAAGCGUGGGGAGCAAACAGG
rnacentral:rRNA from 1 species